AGUGAACGCUGGCGGUAGGCCUAACACAUGCAAGUCGAACGGCAGCACAGUAAGAGCUUGCUCUUACGGGUGGCGAGUGGCGGACGGGUGAGGAAUACAUCGGAAUCUACUUUUUCGUGGGGGAUAACGUAGGGAAACUUACGCUAAUACCGCAUACGACCUACGGGUGAAAGCAGGGGAUCUUUGGCCCUUGCGCGAUUGAAUGAGCCGAUGUCGGAUUAGCUAGUUGGUGGGGUAAAGGCCCACCAAGGCGACGAUCCGUAGCUGGUCUGAGAGGAUGAACAGCCACACUGGAACGGAGAAACGGUCCAGACUCCUACGGGAGGCAGCAGUGGGGAAUAUUGGACAAUGGGCUCAAGCCUGAUCCAGCCAUACCGCGUGGGUGAAGAAGGCCUUCGGGUUGUAAAGCCCUUUUGUUGGGAAAGAAAAGCAGCAGGUUAAUACCCCGCUGUUCUGACGGUACCCAAAGAAUAAGCACCGGCUAACUUCGUG
rnacentral:rRNA from 1 species